GACAGAGGGUGCAAACGUUGCUCGGAAUUACUGGGCGUAAAGCGCGUGUAGGCGGUCACGCAAGUCAGGUGUGAAAGCCCAGGGCUCAACCCUGGAAGUGCACAUGAUACUACGUGGCUGGAGUACUGAAGAGGAGAGCGGAAUUCCCGGUGUAGAGGUGAAAUUCGUAGAUAUCGGGAGGAACACCAGUGGCGAAGGCGGCUUCCUGGUCCAGCACCGACGGUCAGGCACGAAAGCGUGGGGGAGCAAACAG
rnacentral:rRNA from 1 species